rnacentral:misc_RNA from 1 species
UCAAACUUGGUCAUUUAGAGGAAGUAAAAGUCGUAACAAGGUCUCCGUUGGUGAACCUGCGGAAGGAUCAUUACCGAGUGCGGGCCCUCGCGGCCCAACCUCCCACCCUUGUCUCUAUACACCUGUUGCUUUGGCGGGCCCACCGGGGCCUCCCUGGUCGCCGGGGGACAUCCGUCCCCGGGCCCGCGCCCGCCGAAGCGCCCUGUGAACCCUGAUGAAGAUGGGCUGUCUGAGUACCAUGAAAAUUGUCAAAACUUUCAACAAUGGAUCUCUUGGUUCCGGCAUCGAUGAAGAACGCAGC